GACAGAGGCCUCAAGCGUUAGGCGGAAUCACUGGGCUUAAAGCGUGUGUAGGCGGAUGCCUAAGUACCUUGUGAAAUCCCACGGCUCAACCGUGGAACUGCUGGUAUACUGGGCGUCUUGGGCCAUUCAGGGGCGACUGGAACAAGCGGUGGAGCGGUGAAAUGCGUAGAUAUCGCUUGGAACGCCGAAGGUGAAAACAGGUCGCUGGGGAUGUGCCGACGCUGAGACACGAAAGCCAGGGGAGCAAACGGG
rnacentral:rRNA from 1 species